AGUUCCCUACGGGACGCAGUAGUAGGGAAUCUUCCACAAUGGACGAAAGUCUGAUGGAGCAACGCCGCGUGAGUGAAGAAGGGUUUCGGCUCGUAAAGCUCUGUUGGUAGUGAAGAAAGAUAGAGGUAGUAACUGGCCUUUAUUUGACGGUAAUUACUUAGAAAGUCACGGCUAACUACGUGCCAACAGCCGCGGUAAUACGUAGGUGGCAAGCGUUGUCCGGAUUUAUUGGGCGUAAAGCGAG
rnacentral:rRNA from 1 species